rnacentral:rRNA from 1 species
GGCCAGACUCCUACGGGAGGCAGCAGUGGGGAAUAUUGCACAAUGGGGGAAACCCUGAUGCAGCGACGCCGCGUGAGUGAAGAAGUAAUUCGUUAUGUAAAGCUCUAUCAGCAGGGAAGAAAAUGACGGUACCUGAGUAAGAAGCCCCGGCUAACUACGUGCCAGCAGCCGCGGUAAUACGUAGGGGGCAAGCGUUAUCCGGAUUUACUGGGUGUAAAGGGGGCGCAGACGGCGAUGCAAGCCAGGAGUGAAAGCCCGGGGCCCAACCCCGGGACUGCUCUUGGAACUGCGUGGCUGGAGUGCAGGAGGGGCAGGCGGAAUUCCCGGUGUAGCGGUGAAAUGCGUAGAUAUCAGGAGGAACACCGGCGGCGAAGGCGGCCUGCUGGACCGCGACUGACGUUGAGGCUCGAAAGCGUGGGGAGCGAACAGGAUUAGAUACCCGUGUAAU